GGAGAGGUCGCAUAGUGGCCUAGUGCGCGCGCUUGGAAAGCGCGUAGACCUGAAAGGGUCUCGGGGGUUCGAAUCCCCCCCUCUCCGCCA
rnacentral:tRNA from 5 species